rnacentral:rRNA from 1 species
UACGAGUGCCUCGAGCGUUAUCCGGAAUCAUUGGGCGUAAAGGGUGUGCAGGCGGUCUGAUUAGUCUUCUGUUAAAUUUCUCGGCUUAACCGGGAAUCUGCAGGGGAAACGGUCAGACUUGAGGAUGCGAGAGGUUAAUGGAACUCAUAGUGUAGCGGUGAAAUGCGUUGAUAUUAUGGGGAACACCAAAUGCGAAGGCAGUUAACUGGAGCACUCCUGACGCUGAAACACGAAAGCGUGGGUAGCGAAUGGG